rnacentral:rRNA from 1 species
CAGCAGCCGCGGUAAUACGUAGGGUGCGAGCGUUAAUCGGAAUUACUGGGCGUAAAGCGUGCGCAGGCGGUUAUAUAAGACAGAUGUGAAAUCCCCGGGCUCAACCUGGGACCUGCAUUUGUGACUGUGUAGCUAGAGUACGGUAGAGGGGGAUGGAAUUCCGCGUGUAGCAGUGAAAUGCGUAGAUAUGCGGAGGAACACCGAUGGCGAAGGCAAUCCCCUGGACCUGUACUGACGCUCAUGCACGAAAGCGUGGGGAGCAAACAGGAUUAGAUACCCCUGUAGUCCCUGUCUCUUAUAC